UUUGCGCUGAGUAGAGACGGGAGGGGCGCAAACAGAGCCUUGCGUUUGCACCCCUCCCGCCUCUGAGCAGAGGGAGGAGCUAGGGGCGGUAGUUACACUCGCAACAGCAGUAGCACACGAAAAGAGCAGCAGGGAGAGAGAGAGAAAGAGAGCCGGGAGCAACAAGAGACAAUGUCGUCACAUUAGAAAGGUGGAGUAAAGAAAAUGAGUGACACCAAGAAAAGAAGCAAAAUCUAGAACCAUUUAAAUUUUACUGACAAUACAUAGUGUAAUGGAGGAUGUCACGUUAAGAGGGAUGGACUUGACCUCCUGACUAUGAAUAAUGAAGAUGAUAAGGUGCUGACUCUAUGAAUCCACAAUCUCAACAGGGUUGUCCGAUAAGAACGGAUGGCUUAUCCACAAAUCCACUGCCACUCAGGUAUCUGUCGUUCACUCAUUUAUUUAGCACGAAGCCGAGGUACACAUCCAUAAUGUGAGUGAGGGGAUUAACAGGCUGUGAAAUGCUAUAUGACGUGUGGUGAAGUGAUGGUGUGGUUUCUGUUGGAAAGAACAUAAAAGUCUUAUAUAAUUAUGUGAACAAAGUGAACUAAAUGUGUAAUAAAACAAUACAAACAAUACUGAGUAGUGGAACAUUCAACCAAAAUAAGGGAGUAUCAACAAAUGCAAAUUUUACUAUUUACAUAAAUCCCAACUAGGCACUUUACACUAGGGCUAACAUGAGAAAUUAGUGACGGUCCCUUAAUGACCGCACGGCAGAGGCUGCUUCGCAGUAAACGGCAGUAACAUUCGGUAAACAAAGUGUGCGCCAAGGAUUUAAACAACGGUGGACAAUGGCCGCAGCAAAGAACAAACAGGAUACAACACAGAAACUUACAGUCUCAUGGACGCACACUGCUAACAGCAUUAGAAGGAACGAAAAUCCACACGCACAAAGUAAAAAUGGAGCAGGUAAGGUCAUUGAACCCAACAGAAUACUAAACAAGGAGAUGAAGCCAAGCAGUAAGAAGAAAACAAAUAAACAAUCUGCUUCUCUGGAAAAUGCAAGGAGGGUCAAAAGCAUCCUUGGUCUCCCACGGAGGUUGCUGCGAUAAUGAAGCAUUUUGGCGAACAUAUCAAAAAGGAAAACUGGCCACUAUUAUCGAAUGCCAGCAAUGCAAAACUGCAGAAGAUCCUGCUCUGGCUGGUCGUUCUAUUCAAAACAUCAGAGAUUUUGUGAGGAAUCGGGGCGUGUCGUUGAAGAAAAAAGAAAAUCCUAUGUAGAGGAGUCUACAUAACUCCAAAGUACUUCUUGGAGGAGUUACAAAAGAUAUUUUGUAUGUUUUGGUUUCUCAUUUAUUUAUUUUAGAAUUUUACUAUUAGAAGAUUGGUAAAUUCAUUUUGUUGACACUGUUUUAGUGCAUCUGAUCUAAGAGGACAUAAUUUUAUAUUGCCAGUUAUUUUCAUUUCUGUUAACAAAACAAUCCUGUUUUUGUAAAAUGCACUCAAUUUGUUCCUUUUAUUCACCUGUUGCCCUUUUAAUACACACAAAAUACAUGUUUGUGUAUGUGUAUGGCCUUUGUCCUGUUAAUAAAGUUAGCCCUGACAAUUACUGUUCAUGUCAGGGGG
ensembl:lncRNA